rnacentral:rRNA from 1 species
AUUGAACGCUGGCGGCAUGCCUUACCCAUGCAAGUCGAACGGCAGCACGGGUGCUUGCACCUGGUGGCGAGUGGCGAACGGGUUAGUAAUACAUCGGAACAUGUCCUGUUGUGGGUGAUAUCCCGGCGAAAGCCGGAUUAAUACCGCAUACGAUCUACGGAUGAAAGCGGUGGACUUUCGGGCCUCGCGCUAUCUGGUUGUCCGAUGGCUGAUUAGCUAGUUGGUGGGGUAAAGGCCUACCAAGGCGACGAUCAGUAGCUGGUCUGAGAGGACGACCAGCCACACUGGGACUGAGACACGGCCCAGACUCCUACGGGAGGCAGCAGUGGGGAAUUUUGGACAAUGGGCGAAAGCCUGAUCCAGCAAUGCCGCGUGUGUGAAGAAGGCCUUCGGGUUGUAAAGCACUUUUGUCCGGAAAGAAAUCAUUGGCCCGAAUACGGGCGGGGGAUGACGGUACCGGAAGAAUAAGCACCGGCUAACUACGUG